rnacentral:rRNA from 1 species
AGAGUUUGAUCAUGGCUCAGAUUGAACGCUGGCGGCAGGCCUAACACAUGCAAGUCGAACGGUAACAGGAGCAGCUUGCUGCUUUGCUGACGAGUGGCGGACGGGUGAGUAAUGUCUGGGAAACUGCCUGAUGGAGGGGGAUAACUACUGGAAACGGUGGCUAAUACCGCAUAACGUCGCAAGACCAAAGAGGGGGACCUUCGGGCCUCUUGCCAUCAGAUGUGCCCAGAUGGGAUUAGCUUGUUGGUGAGGUAACGGCUCACCAAGGCGACGAUCCCUAGCUGGUCUGAGAGGAUGACCAGCCACACUGGAACUGAGACACGGUCCAGACUCCUACGGGAGGCAGCAGUGGGGAAUAUUGCACAAUGGGCGCAAGCCUGAUGCAGCCAUGCCGCGUGUAUGAAGAAGGCCUUCGGGUUGUAAAGUACUUUCAGCGGGGAGGAAGGUGUUGUGGUUAAUAACCGCAGCAAUUGACGUUACCCGCAGAAGAAGCACCGGCUAACUCCGUGCCAGCAGCCGCGGUAAUACGGAGGGUGCAAGCGUUAAUCGGAAUUACUGGGCGUAAAGCGCACGCAGGCGGUCUGUCAAGUCGGAUGUGAAAUCCCCGGGCUCAACCUGGGAACUGCAUUCGAAACUGGCAGGCUUGAGUCUUGUAGAGGGGGGUAGAAUUCCAGGUGUAGCGGUGAAAUGCGUAGAGAUCUGGAGGAAUACCGGUGGCGAAGGCGGCCCCCUGGACAAAGACUGACGCUCAGGUGCGAAAGCGUGGGGAGCAAACAGGAUUAGAUACCCUGGUAGUCCACGCCGUAAACGAUGUCUACUUGGAGGUUGUGCCCUUGAGGGUGGCUUCCGGAGCUAACGCGUUAAGUAGACCGCCUGGGGAGUACGGCCGCAAGGUUAAAACUCAAAUGAAUUGACGGGGGCCCGCACAAGCGGUGGAGCAUGUGGUUUAAUUCGAUGCAACGCGAAGAACCUUACCUGGUCUUGACAUCCACAGAACUUUCCAGAGAUGGAUUGGUGCCUUCGGGAACUGUGAGACAGGUGCUGCAUGGCUGUCGUCAGCUCGUGUUGUGAAAUGUUGGGUUAAGUCCCGCAACGAGCGCAACCCUUAUCCUUUGUUGCCAGCGGUCCGGCCGGGAACUCAAAGGAGACUGCCAGUGAUAAACUGGAGGAAGGUGGGGAUGACGUCAAGUUCAUGGCCCUUACGACCAGGGCUACACACGUGCUACAAUGGCGCAUACAAAGAGAAGCGACCUCGCAAGCAAGCGGACCUCAUAAAGUGCGUCGUAGUCCGGAUUGGAGUCUGCAACUCGACUCCAUGAAGUCGGAAUCGCUAGUAAUCGUGGAUCAGAAUGCCACGGUGAAUACGUUCCCGGGCCUUGUACACACCGCCCGUCACACCAUGGGAGUGGGUUGCAAAAGAAGUAGGUAGCUUAACCUUCGGGGGGGGG